rnacentral:rRNA from 1 species
AACGAACACUGGCGGCAUGCCUAACACAUGCAAGUCGAACGAGACCUUCGGGUCUAGUGGCGCACGGGUGCGUAACGCGUGGGAACCUGCCCUUAGGUUCGGAAUAACUCCCCGAAAGGGGUGCUAAUACCGGAUAAUGUCUUCGGACCAAAGAUUUAUCGCCUUUGGAUGGGCCCGCGUUGGAUUAGCUAGUUGGUAGGGUAAAAGCCUACCAAGGCGACGAUCCAUAGCUGGUCUGAGAGGAUGAUCAGCCACACUGGGACUGAGACACGGCCCAGACUCCUACGGGAGGCAGCAGUGGGGAAUAUUGGACAAUGGGCGAAAGCCUGAUCCAGCAAUGCCGCGUGAGUGAUGAAGGCCUUAGGGUUGCAAAGCUCUUUUACCCGGGAUGAUAAUGACAGUACCGGGAGAAUAAGCUCCGGCUAACUCCGUG